rfam:Schistosoma mattheei strain Denwood, Zambia genome assembly, scaffold: SMTD_scaffold0000316
AUCCAGCUGAUGAGUCCCAAAUAGGACGAAACUGGAU